UUAUUUAAAUUUCCUUUUCAGCGGUUCCCUAGCAGUGAAGCACUGCUGGUUUGUUUUGCAGAGUCACUGCAGCCUUUUCUGGAGGCCUGCAGCAACACUUUAUUUUUUCGGACUUGCUCGGUGCUGCUUCGAACGCCUAAGCUGGAUCUUCAUAUACUAGAAAAGCUCAGCAUCAUUCUUCAGAAACUUUCCAAAAUCAAAAGCAACAAGAAGCUCUUUGAACUUUUUACAAUUCACCUGAUGCUUCAAGAAAUACAGAGAACAACACACCCAGAGCAUGCCUUUCUCUGUAUCAACCUCAACUCAACUCUGUUCAAUUUGGGUUUGACAAAAUGCAACUCCCUGGUCUCUACUGCAAGUCAUUAGUCUGGCUUAUUAUUACUGUAUACAUAUUUACAUGCAAUGUGUGGUGCUUAUCUGUAAGACUGUAAAAUUCACCAAAGGAACUAAAAGUCUACCAAGUAAAGUUAUCAGUAGUAUUAUUUAUCAUGAAUAAUAGAACUUUUUUAAACUUUAAAAACGACAUCUAUGAGUUAAUGGAAUAUUUGGAAUAUCUUAUUCAAUGAAGUUUUAAGAUACAGUUAUAAGAAUUAAUUACAUGGGCUACUUUUUGUAAACAUUUUAGGGAAAUUAUUUGAAUUAUGUUAUUUUUGGCAAUAAAAUUGGUUCUUAUGGGUAACAGGGUUAGAGUGUGUCAUCAUUCUGUUUUCUUAGUAGAUUACCAACUUCCCUUUUGAUAAUAUAAGUAUGUAAGUACCAUGUUUAUAUCGUGAAUUUUCUGUAUGUCCUAGACCUCACAGCACUACUGGCGGGACGUCAAAGGCAUCCCUAGACCCCAAGGCUGACUUUCCAAAUUUUACAGUUCAUGGGGCUAUGUGUCCCUGGUCUUCUGUCUCCCGCCGCGAAGCUAUCCUGGCAUACUGGCGCUCUGAAAGUUGACUGAAAUAUGGUGCAACAAUGUGGGACCUAACCUGCCCAUCCCCCAGAUAAAUGAAGACAUUUGGCUACCUGUCCACUAUGGGCUGCUUUUCUACUUAUGAAGAGGUUUCCAAAGGCCUCUGCCCUUUCUUCAUGAGACUGUUUCUCUGUCUCUGGAACCCUUUGCUCUUCACACUC